CCUACGGGGCGCAGCAGUGGGGAAUAUUGCACAAUGGGGGAAACCCUGAUGCAGCGAUGCCGCGUGGAGGAAGAAGGUUUUCGGAUUGUAAACUCCUUUUAUCAGGGACGAUAAUGACGGUACCUGAAGAAAAAGCUCCGGCUAACUACGUGCCAGCAGCCGCGGUAAUACGUAGGGAGCGAGCGUUGUCCGGAUUUACUGGGGGUAAAGGGGGCGUAGGUGGCAGGGCAAGUCAGAUGUGAAAGCCCGUGGCUCAACACCGGUACUGCAUUUGAAACUGUCAAGCUGGAGUGCAGGAGAG
rnacentral:rRNA from 1 species